UUAAGUUAAUAAGGGCGCACGGUGGAUGCCUUGGCACUAGAAGCCGAAGAAGGACGUGACAAACGACGAAAUGCUUUGGGGAGCUGUAAGUAAGCGCUGAUCCAGAGAUGUCCGAAUGGGGGAACCCACUAACUAAUGGUUAGUAUCCAUAACUGUUAAGGUUAUGAGAAGGAAGACGCAGUGAACUGAAACAUCUAAGUAGCUGCAGGAAGAGAAAGCAAACGCGAUUGCCUUAGUAGCGGCGAGCGAAACGGCAGGAGGGCAAACCGAAGUGUUUACACUUCGGGGUUGUAGGACUGCGACGUGGGACUUUAAAAGGAUAGAAGAAUUACCUGGGAAGGUAAGCCAAAGAGAGUAAAAGCCUCGUAUUUAAAAUUCUUUUGAGCCCUAGCAGUAUCCUGAGUACGGCGAGACACGUGAAAUCUCGUUGGAAUCUGGGAGGACCAUCUCCCAACCCUAAAUACUCUCUAGUGACCGAUAGUGAACCAGUACCGUGAGGGAAAGGUGAAAAGCACCCCGGGAGGGGAGUGAAAUAGAACCUGAAACCGUGUGCCUACAACAAGUUCGAGCCCGUUAAUGGGUGAGAGCGUGCCUUUUGUAGAAUGAACCGGCGAGUUACGAUAUGAUGCGAGGUUAAGUUGAAGAGACGGAGCCGUAGGGAAACCGAGUCUUAAUAGGGCGAUUUAGUAUCAUGUUGUAGACCCGAAACCAUGUGACCUACCCAUGAGCAGGUUGAAGGUGAGGUAAAACUCACUGGAGGACCGAACCAGGGCACGUUGAAAAGUGCUUGGAUGACUUGUGGGUAGCGGAGAAAUUCCAAACGAACUUGGAGAUAGCUGGUUCUCUCCGAAAUAGCUUUAGGGCUAGCGUCGAUGUUAAGUCUCUUGGAGGUAGAGCACUGUUUGGGUGAGGGGUCCAUCUCGGAUUACCAAUCUCAGAUAAACUCCGAAUGCCAACGAGAUAUCAUCGGCAGUCAGACUGCGAGUGCUAAGAUCCGUAGUCGAAAGGGAAACAGCCCAGACCACCAGCUAAGGUCCCAAAAUAACUGUUAAGUGGAAAAGGAUGUGGGGUUGCACAGACAACUAGGAUGUUAGCUUAGAAGCAGCUAUUCAUUCAAAGAGUGCGUAAUAGCUCACUAGUCGAGUGACCCUGCGCCGAAAAUGUACCGGGGCUAAAACAGUUUACCGAAGCUGUGGAUGACACAAAAGUGUCAUGGUAGGAGAGCGUUCUAUGUGUGAAGAAGGUGUACCGUGAGGAGCGCUGGAACGCAUAGAAGUGAGAAUGCCGGUAUGAGUAGCGAAAGACAGGUGAGAAUCCUGUCCACCGUAAGACUAAGGUUUCCAGGGGAAGGCUCGUCCGCCCUGGGUUAGUCGGGACCUAAGGAGAGACCGAAAGGUGUAUCCGAUGGCCAACAGGUUGAUAUUCCUGUACUAGAGUAUAUAGUGAUGGAGGGACGCAGUAGGCUAACUAAACCGGACGAUUGGAAGAGUCCGGCUAAGCAGUGAGGUGUAAGAUGAGUCAAAUGCUUAUCUUUAUAACAUUGAGCUGUGAUGGGGAGCGAAUUUUAGUAGCGAAGUUAGUGAUGUCACACUGCCAAGAAAAGCUUCUAGCGUUUAAUGAUACUCUACCCGUACCGCAAACCGACACAGGUAGUCGAGGCGAGUAGCCUCAGGUGAUCGAGAGAACUCUCGUUAAGGAACUCGGCAAAAUGACCCCGUAACUUCGGGAGAAGGGGUGCUGACUUAGGUCAGCCGCAGUGAAUAGGCCCAAGCAACUGUUUAUCAAAAACACAGCUCUCUGCUAAAUCGUAAGAUGAUGUAUAGGGGGUGACGCCUGCCCGGUGCUGGAAGGUUAAGAGGAGGGUUUAGCGCAAGCGAAGAUCUGAAUUGAAGCCCCAGUAAACGGCGGCCGUAACUAUAACGGUCCUAAGGUAGCGAAAUUCCUUGUCGGGUAAGUUCCGACCCGCACGAAAGGCGUAAUGAUUUGGGCACUGUCUCAACGAGAGACUCGGUGAAAUUUUAGUACCUGUGAAGAUGCAGGUUACCCGCGACAGGACGGAAAGACCCCAUGGAGCUUUACUGCAGUUUGAUAUUGAGUAUCUGUACCACAUGUACAGGAUAGGUAGGAGCCAUUGACUUCGGGACGCCAGUUUCGAAUGAGGCGUUGUUGGGAUACUACCCUUGUGUUAUGGCUACUCUAACCCAGAUAGGUUAUCCCUAUCGGAGACAGUGUCUGACGGGCAGUUUGACUGGGGCGGUCGCCUCCUAAAGAGUAACGGAGGCGCCCAAAGGUUCCCUCAGAUUGGUUGGAAAUCAAUCGCAGAGUGUAAAGGUAUAAGGGAGCUUGACUGCGAGAGCUACAACUCGAGCAGGGACGAAAGUCGGGCUUAGUGAUCCGGUGGUACCGAAUGGAAGGGCCAUCGCUCAACGGAUUUCAGAACGUCGUGAGACAGUUCGGUCCCUAUCCGUCGCGGGCGUAGGAAAUUUGAGAGGAUCUGCUCCUAGUACGAGAGGACCAGAGUGGACUUACCGCUGGUGUACCAGUUGUCUUGCCAAAGGCAUCGCUGGGUAGCUAUGUAGGGAAGGGAUAAGCGCUGAAAGCAUCUAAGUGCGAAGCCCCCCUCAAGAUGAGAUUUCCCAUGAUUUUAUAUCAGUAAGAGCCCUGAGAGAUGAUCAGGUAGAUAGGUUAGGAGUGUAAGUGUAGCGAUACAUGUAGCGGACUAAUACUAAUAGCUCGAGGACUUAUCCAA
rnacentral:rRNA from 1 species